rnacentral:lncRNA from 1 species
ACUAGUAAAACACACAAAUGCACAAGGGUACUUCUUCUCCCCCUAAAUCUGUGCAACACAAACAUCUCUUUUAAUAAUAACAACACCUGUAACAAUCAGAAUAUCAUUCUGACAUCUGCUUCAACAUCACCUGUGCAUAACAUCACCUGUGCACCACAUCAGACAUCCCCUUUGACAUUUGUAAACAGAACAACAUUCUGUCUUACAUCAAACGCAUCUCCUUCA